AAACUUUAUCUAGCCGAUCAUCUGAUUACAUCACCAAUUUGUCUCGAUGCUGUAAAGAUUAUGAAGAAAAGUUAAAUAAAUGUGUUGAAUGCAGAGCUGGAUAUUUUGGAUUAAAUUGCUCUUCCAAAUGCCCAGAAAACUACUAUGGUCGUCAUUGCAGUGAGAGAUGCGAUUGUCCUGAACACUACUCCUGUGACCACGUUUGCGGAUGUGAGCAAAAUACGACACUCCUCAACCAUACCAACUCUGAGAGAUGUAACAGAUCUAUUAAAAAUCAAGAAAAUGUGACGGAAUAUUUGGCAUUUGAAUGGAUACCCAUUUUCUUCAUUGUGGUUGGAAUAAUCGUGUGCUUAUUAGGCGUUAACCUCUUAUGCUGGAGAUGGCGGAUCACAAGAUGACACGAAGUUGGUGCGCUAUCACUUUAACAAUGAAGAAUACAUCGGUAUCCAGCGCGAGAAAGAGGGUCCGAACGCCAAUCAAACUAACAUAGAUUCCAAUUUAGACGACUUGGCAGCAUAUGAAGAAAUUAACAAACAUUCAAAUCCCAAGCAAAUAUUUAGCGGAAAGAAUUUUGAUAAUUUUUUUCCAAUGGGUGGUGUUGGCAGGAACGUGGACAAAUCCUUGAGAACAGAAGGUAAUGAACCUCCAGGAUCUCAUAUACAAUCUUUAAAUAGUGAUUUACCUCGAGCACCAGAAAACACUGGCUAUCUGUCAGCGGAGGUAAAUUUUGCACGACAAAUCUCAAGAAGUAGUGACUCUGGUUCAUACCAAUCAGUAAAAUCUAAACAUUACCCAAAUGAACAUGGCGGACAUCCCACCGAAACAAUGGGUUUGUACGAGUCAAUAACAGAUGGCAGAAGUACACAUGAACAUCACUACGCGGAUCUUCAACCCUCGAAUUCCUAAUAAGGAGGUAACUACGAUGACCUUGAUGAAGCCAUUCACAUAGGAAUUCACCGCAUUCAAACUUUUCUAUGGACUGGACUAUUAUUUUUUACCUUAACCUUCAAAGACUUCUUAAACUUUUUUGUGAAGAAUCAGCGCAAUCUUUGAUCGCAUAGUGAUGUUACGAUUGUGUUACAUUUGGAUGUCUAUAUUUUUGUCUACUCUAAAUUUGGUACUUGCACGUUGCUAUAAUAAAGCUAAUUAUUUUUC
rnacentral:misc_RNA from 1 species